GUGUCAGCAGCCGCGGUAAUACGGAGGAGGCAAGCGUUAUCCGGAUUUAUUGGGCGUAAAGCGUCCGCAGGUGGUUUAUCAAGUCUGCUGUUAAAGCGCGAAGCUUAACUUCGUAAGGGCAGUGGAAACUGAUGAACUAGAGGGUGAUAGGGGCAGAGGGAAUUCCCAGUGUAGCGGUGAAAUGCGUAGAGAUUGGGAAGAACACCGGUGGCGAAAGCGCUCUGCUGGGUCACACCUGACACUGAGGGACGAAAGCUAGGGGAGCGAAAGGGAUUAGAUACCCCUGUAGUCC
rnacentral:rRNA from 1 species